UUCCCUGUAACCUAUUUGCAUGAUAUCGCAGAGAGUCAUUUUCCACUAUUACUGGUCAUAAUCACCUGAGCAGGCAAAACUAAAGGCCUAAUAAUCACAACAAGAAUGGGUUUUUCGAUAUCUUCAUUUUAUGUCAGCUGACAGUGAGUGACGGGCACCGGGAGAUGAUUCCCGUGUAGUGACGACGUUUUGCAAGCGAAGCACGUUCUGCGGGGAUGUGGACAAGUAACUGGGGGCUGAGGCAGUAAGGGGCCACCCAAGGUGAUGACAGAGGCCUAGAGAGGCAAUUAUACGCCGCAUGGAGGCCUCAGCUCCAGCGUUAGAGACUUCUGCAAAGCGCCCGGCAAGCUGUUCACACUCUGCUGAGCCAGACUUUCGGCUCCUCGGGAGUUUUGGGAAACACAGUGCCCUGUGCGGGCCUUCAGGUGCCGGGCACCACGGUGUGGUAACGGCAAGGGUGGUAUUGCUCUGCUGCCCUCAAAUGAUCCCCGGUGAGUCUCCACCCUGUCACCAAAUGGUAAUACUGCACAUGGAAUACAUGGGGGGGGGAGGGGGUGCUUUAUCUCAAGCCUUCAUCCCCCAGGAUGCUCUGCUUGGGAGGCUUGUUUGUUGUUGGUGGGCAACAGUUUCUUCGUCUUGGGGGUGUGUGGGUUUUUCUAAAGGAAAUGCAGGUGAUUGAUGAGCCACAGAAAAGAACGGCAGUCUGGCACAGAGCUGAUAAAGCAGUGGGAUGCUUCAUCCAUAAUCCCAAGUGUCCCGGGGGGCAUCCACCGAGGACUGCCUGGACCCAACCGCACCCA